CCCCAACGUAGUAUCACGUGACCAACAGUCGAGCGUUUGGCGGACGGUUAGCUUGUCGAUGUUUCAAUCGAAAAUACGUAUUACCUGGUUAACUGUUACCUGUAGAUUAUUUAGUAAUGACCAUGGUGUUCAGUAUCUCAUAUCACCUGUUCUGUUUAUGGUCGUUAAUGCAAGUUGUUAAAGGCGAGUACUGUGACUAUUUUGAUGAUGAUCAUGGUAUCAACAACUCAACGUAUUGUUAUUAUGGAUGUUGUAAUACCAGCAGUAACGCUACGUUACGCAACGUAUGCUGCUCUAUCUAUGAUGGACCUGGAUUCUUCAACUGUUAUAGCAGUAAUACCAGUUUCCCCUUUGGUAUAAUUGUAGCAGUCAGUUUCAUAUUUGUGAUGUUUAUUGUCACAUGUUGUUGUUGUUGCCGUAAACGACAAGCAACUCAAGGACUGGUUCUUGAAGCUCCAGUGGUAUAUUCUAGUAUUUAAUAAUAAUAACAGUAUACUCAUCGCGCAGAUACUGGUCAAACAAGUACCUUGCGUCCACCAAUCGUUUUGACCCCUCCACCAUAUCACUCACUAGAAGCUAAUAAGCCACCACCAUCUUAUGAUACAGUUACCUCCCCUGUAGGACAAGAUGACCAGAACUUCGAUACACAUACAAAUAGCAAUAUUAAUUAAGGGUAUAGACAGAUAAUGGUUUAUUAUAUUAACUGUGUGUAUAGAGAACUGUUUAUUGUAUUAACCGUGUAGAUAGGGGGCUGUUUAUUGUAUUAACCGUGUAGAUAGAGGGCUGUUUAAUGUACUAACUGUGUAGAUAGAGAACUGUUUAUUGUAUUAACUAGAGAACUGUUUAUUGUAUUAACUGUAUAUAGAUAAAGAAUGGUUUAUUAUAUUAAUUGUA